rnacentral:lncRNA from 1 species
CGAUCUCGUUCUCGUUCAAAGGAUAGAUCUGAGCGAUCUCCAUCGAAAAGGUAGCAGUUUUUUCUCAUUGGUUUACUCUUAUAUGAAAUAAUUGCUUCAAUCUAAGAAAGUUUCUAACCUCGAUAUAUAUUGUUGCAGUAAGCGAGUCAGUGGAUUCGAUAUGGCACCUCCAGCCUCUGCAAUGUUAGCUGCUGGUGCUGCUGUUACAGGUAUAUCUCUUUAAUUUAGCACCUUCUCAUUAGCGUAAUGUAGAAUUCAUACCUAAUGCACGUAGUGGGAUUGAUAAAUUCUGUUUCUCCUGAAUAACUACAAAAACAUAGGCUGUUUUCUUGUUUUUUUACAUGGGACAUAACGCUAGAACUGAGAGCUUUUGGUUGUUUGGUGGUCUUUGUGUUUCUUGUUUGCUUUUCUGUUUUG